rnacentral:rRNA from 1 species
UACGUAGGGGGCGAGCGUUGUCCGGAUUUAUUGGGCGUAAAGAGCGUGUAGGCGGCCAGGUAGGUCCGUUGUGAAAACUCGAGGCUCAACCUCGAGACGUCGGCGGAAACCCUCUGGCUAGAGUCCGGAAGAGGAGAGUGGAAUUCCUGGUGUAGCGGUGAAAUGCGCAGAUAUCAGGAAGAACACCCGUGGCUAAGGCGGCUCUCUAGUACGGUACUGACGCUGAGACGCGAAAGCGUGGGGAGCGAACAGG